rnacentral:lncRNA from 1 species
UUCAUAUACACAUCACUACCUAGCAGUUAAUAUUCAACCAAAACUAAGGAUAGAAAUUGAGUUUUGGUAACUCAUCCUUCCAUCUUUUACGAGUCCUAUUUCUUGCAUGUAAUAGCAGUGCUACUUCUCUGCAACAUUGUCCUUCAUCAAAAGUCUUAUUCUCAAACCUGAUCAGAUUCCUAUUCUUCCAUAGCAAUGCUACAGCAGUCACAAAUGCUGCUGCAGUGAUCUCUUUCUUCCAGUUUUUACUCUUGGCAUUGCUACAAAUCCAUUUCAAUUCAUUCUCCC